AGAUUUGAGAGGGGCUGGAAAAUACUUCAAUUAGGGUUUUUAUUCUUUUAAUUUAGUUUAUUUAUAGAUUAUAUCAUUUAUUCAUUCAUCUUGAUUACGAUAACGUCCAUUAGUGGCUGAAUGCCCCCUUUACAGGGUUAAGGCAACGACCAUGAUUACUAUUUCUUUGAAUUGAUUUGGUUUUGAUUGAUUGUCAUAUUUGGUUUUUUAUUUAACCUUGUUAUAACUAUUUUAGGUAUUUGCGACCCUUAGAAUACAUAUAUUGUUGUCUUGUAAGCUCAAGAGGGGAAAUAAGAGGAUAGAACGUGGG
rnacentral:lncRNA from 1 species